CAGUGGUCUGCAGCAUUCUGAAAGCUGCCCCCAAAGACUCUGAAGCCCAAGGCGGUGCUCUUCAGGCAGAACUCCAUGACCUCUGUGCUGGCAGUGAGACAGAAGGCCUGGGGGUUUCUUCAUUGGGACAGGAGAUGGGCAGCUCAUUAAGCUUGCUGUGGACAGGGACUAUCACACCACCUGUCCCAGGGUCCUCUACAGGGCCCCUGACGACCGCCAAGUGUUUCCCAAAAUGCAUCUGGAUCAAGUGGAUCUUAAACAUGUGUACUUGCCACUUCAGAACCAGUUGAUGCGUGUACCUGUGUCAAAGUGCAGCACAUACACAAAUGUGCAGGACUGUUGGUCUGCACAGGAUCCGUACUGCGUCUGGUGCGGCACUAAAAAAAGUUGCACAUUUGAAGAUGACUGCCAAGAUUCCGACUGGUAUCCAUCCUUAC